GUUGUAUAGUCAAGUAAUUAAGUGCAUGUGGUGGAUGCCUUGGCAGUCAGAGGCGAUGAAAGACGUGAUAGCCUGCGAAAAGCUCCGGGGAGGCGGCAAAUAUCCUUUGAUCCGGAGAUGUCUGAAUGGGGGAACCCACCUACUUUAAGGUAGGUAUUGCAACAUGAAUACAUAGUGUUGCAAGGCGAACGAGGGGAAGUGAAACAUCUCAGUACCCUUAGGAAAAGAAAUCAAUUGAGAUUCCCUCAGUAGCGGCGAGCGAACGGGGAUCAGCCCAUUAAGUUAUGUGUGUUUUAGUGGAACGCUCUGGGAAGUGCGAACGUAGAGGGUGAUAUUCCCGUACACGAAAGGGCACACAUAAUGAUGACGAGUAGGGCGAGGCACGUGAAACCUUGUCUGAAUAUGGGGGGACCAUCCUCCAAGGCUAAAUACUCCUGACUGACCGAUAGUGAACCAGUACCGUGAGGGAAAGGCGAAAAGAACCCCUGUGAGGGGAGUGAAAUAGAUCCUGAAACCGCAUGCAUACAAGCAGUGGGAGCACCUUCGUGGUGUGACUGCGUACCUUUUGUAUAAUGGGUCAGCGACUUAUAUUCAGUAGCAAGGUUAACCGUAUAGGGGAGCCGUAGAGAAAUCGAGUCUUAAUAGGGCGUUUAGUUGCUGGGUAUAGACCCGAAACCAGGCGAUCUAUCCAUGAGCAGGUUGAAGGUUGGGUAACACUAACUGGAGGACCGAACCCACUGUCGUUGAAAAGCCAGGGGAUGACUUGUGGAUAGGGGUGAAAGGCUAAUCAAGCCUGGUGAUAGCUGGUUCUCCCCGAAAGCUAUUUAGGUAGCGCCUCGGACGAAUACCAUAGGGGGUAGAGCACUGUUUCGGCUAGGGGGUCAUCCCGACUUACCAAACCGAUGCAAACUCCGAAUACCUAUGAGUACUAUCCGGGAGACAGACUGCGGGUGCUAACGUCCGUAGUCAAGAGGAAAACAAUCCAGACCGCCAGCUAAGGCCCCAAAAUCAUAGUUAAGUGGGAAACGAUGUGGGAAGGCAUAGACAGCUAGGAGGUUGGCUUANNNNNNNNNNNNNNNNNNNNGAAGCAGCCACCCUUUAAAGAAAGCGUAAUAGCUCACUAGUCGAGUCGGCCUGCGCGGAAGAUGUAACGGGGCUAAAACUAUGUGCCGAAGCUGCGGAUGUAUACUUUGUAUACGUGGUAGGGGAGCGUUCUGUAAGCCGAUGAAGGUGUGUUGAGAAGCAUGCUGGAGGUAUCAGAAGUGCGAAUGCUGACGUGAGUAACGACAAAACGGGUGAAAAACCCGUUCGCCGAAAGACCAAGGGUUCCAGUCCAACGUUAA
rnacentral:rRNA from 1 species